UAAAUUCUGACGGCACUGCGAACUCAUAAGAUGAUAAGUACUGGUUGAUUCCCGGAACUGUUAACUUGAAGGCGUCACCGGAAUUAUCAACCAGUCCCUUUUGGAAAUACUAUUACCAUAACACAUUAUGAGUGUUUAAGUAUGAUACCAUGCUGUGAUCAAAAUCCAUAAAACUUCUCUUAGUAAUAAAUCUUAAUUCUAUCUUAUCCUGGUAAUGUAUGGUUACAUUUGUAGGUUAGUUACUAUAAAUUCGGACAAAUUUGGAAGGCCGUUUGGCAAUGUGGGGAAUUACAUAA
rnacentral:lncRNA from 1 species